UACAUUCAGCAUGUAAUUCAAUAGAAACAUGGACUUCACUAGAAGGUGUACACCCACUUGGUAUUUGGCAAUGAUUUAUGAUGAGAUUGUAUACACUUGCAGGGAUAUGGAAGUUUGCUGGAUACAUAUCUCGAGGAUGUCCAACGAGCUUGCCGACCUCCUGGCGAGGGAUGGGGCGAGGGCCCAUGAAGAAGUGCACACCUGGCCGCCCACUUCUGCUUAAGACCUAAGAAGAAUUACUUAGAAGGAAAACUCACUGUAUUCGGGCAUCUUAUUUAGCCCACUUUUGUUAUUCCACUGUAAACUUUGCAAUGGGCCAGUUUUUGUGAACCCAUUGUAAACUUUAUAAGGGGACUAUUCUAUAACCCCAUUUUUUUGUUAAGGGGACUAUUCUAUAACCCCAUUUUUUGUAUAGGGUCCUUCGACCUAUUCUUUUUUAUCGAUGAGUCCCGCCUAGAGGGCACUCUCGGACUAACCUCCAAC
rnacentral:lncRNA from 1 species